rnacentral:rRNA from 1 species
UACAGAGGGGGCAAGCGUUGUUCGGAAUUACUGGGCGUAAAGGGCGCGUAGGCGGCAAUUCAAGUCAGCUGUGAAAUCUCCGAGCUUAACUCGGAACGGUCAGCUGAUACUGUUUUGCUAGAGUGCAGAAAGGGCAACCGGAAUUCUUGGUGUAGCGGUGAAAUGCGUAGAUAUCAAGAGGAACACCUGAGGCGAAGGCGGGUUGCUAGGCUGACACUGACGCUGAGGCGCGAAAGCUAGGGUAGCAAACGGG